GACGAACGCUGGCGGCGUGCUUAACACAUGCAAGUCGAACGGAAAGGCCCUGCUUUUGUGGGGUGCUCGAGUGGCGAACGGGUGAGUAACACGUGAGUAACCUGCCCUUGACUUUGGGAUAACUUCAGGAAACUGGGGCUAAUCCCGGAUAGGAGCUCCUGCUGCAUGGUGGGGGUUGGAAAGUUUCGGCGGUUGGGGAUGGACUCGCGGCUUAUCAGCUUGUUGGUGGGGUAGUGGCUUACCAAGGCUUUGACGGGUAGCCGGCCUGAGAGGGUGACCGGCCACAUUGGGACUGGGAUACGGCCCAGACUCCUACGGGAGGCAGCAGUGGGGAAUAUUGCACAAUGGGCGGAAGCCUGAUGCAGCAACGCCGCGUGCGGGAUGACGGCCUUCGGGUUGUAAACCGCUUUCGCCUGUGACGAAGCGUGAGUGACGGUAAUGGGUAAAGAAGCACCGGCUAACUACGUG
rnacentral:rRNA from 1 species